ensembl:lncRNA
GUGAUUUACCUCAGACAAAGAGGGCACCUUGGGAAUUUAAGUUGGCGUACUUUUAAAAGUUUGAAGUAAACAACUCUUGCUCAUUUACUUUACUCUUGCCCUCAGUUACGCAAUGGACUCUAGCUGAACAAAAGUCUCACUGAAGACUGGUUGUGUUUCAUCUGCUCCCUAAUUCCCUAUGACGUGAUUCAGGACAUCGUGAACAAAUGGAACAGAGAUGAAAGAUCACAUAAAGAAACAACUUUAAAUACUUAAGAAGAAAUAGUGACAUUUCUAGUAAGUAAAUAUUAUUGCUAGUUUCACGGUGGGUUGCAUUCUGGGAAUUUCUGAGGCAUGAACAUUUCUCUGCUUAGAGUGAUUUGGACAAUGGGACAGCCUCAAAAACGUCUGACUCCC